UACCGCGGCGGCUGGCACCAGACUUGCCCACCCCUUAUUCUACACCAUUUUUAGAGAUGUCAAAAGACUUUCUUAGCGAAAGUCACUCAGAAUAACCCUGUCAGGCUUUCGCCUAUUGCAGAGGUUUCGCGCCUGCUGCGCCCCAUAGGGCCUGGGUCCUUGUCUCAGUACCCAUCUCCGGGCUCCUCCUCUCAGAGCCCGUACCGGUUACAGGUUUGGUAAGCCAUUACCUCACCAACAGCCUGAUCGGUCGCAGUCCAAUCCAAAGGCCAUAUAGAUUUUGAUCAAAAACCAUUCCAGGUAUCUUGGUCUAUCGCGGUUUAGCCUCAGUUUCCCGAGUUUAUCCACGUCCUCUGGUUAUGUUGACUACGUGUUACUGAGCCGUGUGCCACGUAUUGCUACGUUGACUCGCAUGGCUUAAAUCCGAUNCCCGGGU
rnacentral:rRNA from 1 species